rnacentral:rRNA from 1 species
CCUACGGGGGGCAGCAGUGAGGAAUAUUGGUCAAUGGACGAGAGUCUGAACCAGCCAAGUAGCGUGAAGGAUGACUGCCCUAUGGGUUGUAAACUUCUUUUAUAUGGGAAUAAAACGUUCCACGUGUGGGAUUUUGUAUGUACCAUAUGAAUAAGGAUCGGCUAACUCGGUGCCAGCAGCCGCGGUAAUACGGAGGAUCCGAGCGUUAUCCGGAUUUAUUGGGUUUAAAGGGAGCGUAGGUGGAUUGUUAAGUCAGUUGUGAAAGUUUGCGGCUCAACCGUAAAAUUGCAGUUGAAACUGGCAGUCUUGAGUACAGGAGAGGUAGGCGGAAUUCGUGGUGUAGCGGUGAAAUGCUUAGAUAUCACGAAGAACUCCGAUUGCGAAGGCAGUUCACUGGACUGCAACUGACACUGAGGCUCGAAAGUGUGGGUAUCAAACAGGAUUAGAUACCCGAGUAGUC